GGAGUUUGACAAUGUCACUGGGCCUUGUUUCCUGCCUGCCUGGUACUCCUAGCGAUGUUCUACAAGCAAAUCUAUGAGCGAAGCCAAACCAGGUGGAGUCCUUCAGAAUCAUUCUCUGUGGCUCUUGUGAGAAAGCUUCAUCCCCUCCUACAUCUGAGGAUAUUAAUAACAAUAAAUGUCCCUGAUUACAGCUGAAGGCGC
rnacentral:lncRNA from 1 species